UGGGGAAUUUUGGACAAUGGGGGAAACCCUGAUCCAGCCAUCCCGCGUGUGCGAUGAAGGCCUUCGGGUUGUAAAGCACUUUUGGCAGGAAAGAAACGUCAUGGGUUAAUACCCCGUGAAACUGACGGUACCUGCAGAAUAAGCACCGGCUAACUACGUGCCAGCAGCCGCGGUAAUACGUAGGGUGCAAGCGUUAAUCGGAAUUACUGGGCGUAAAGCGUGCGCAGGCGGUUCGGAAAGAAAGAUGUGAAAUCCCAGAGCUCAACUUUGGAACUGCAUUUUUAACUACCGGGCUAGAGUGUGUCAGAGGGAGGUGGAAUUCCGCGUGUAGCAGUGAAAUGGGUAGAUAUGCGGAGGAACACCGAUGGCGAAGGCAGCCUCCUGGGAUAACACUGACGCUCAUGCACGAAAGCGUGGGGAGCAAACAGG
rnacentral:rRNA from 1 species